ACAUAUAGUCAGAAAUUUUAAGUUCUAUUUUUUUUUCCUUUGAAAAGAGAAAGACACCAUAUUGGGAAUUGGGAUCAUCCUUGUGGAACUUCAUCCUCAAAAUGAUAGUAAUAGUAAGAUUAAAUCUAUUUGCACAUUUUGCUGCUUCUAAAUGGUAUUAAAUAAAUUAUUUUCUUCGUCUAGUGUGUGUCCCAUAGGGAUUAAGUUGGGAUGAGUCUGUAACACUUGUUAAUGUCAUGGAUGGACAGAGUUUAAGUUUUUGGUCAAAUUUUAGUUUCAUACAGGUUAACAUCCAUCAGGAGUUGAUGUAG
rnacentral:misc_RNA from 1 species